UUGUGCAAUAAACGAAAGUAUGACACAGAGAGGACACAUUUAAUUGAGCCCGUCAAAUUAAGUGCCAGCCGACGCGGUUAAACUUAAGGGCUGGUCUUUAUAAGUAAAAAGGCGUAAAGGAUGUGUAGGCCAAGAAACGACCCAAGAAGGUAAAUGGAAUUUUUCUGGAGCGGUAGAAUGUGAGGAUAGAAAAUAGAACCCCUAAGGUUAAAACUAUUUACCACAAGGUAGGCUGAAACAUGAGUGUGUGGGGAGCAAACAGGAUUAGAGACCCUGGUAGUCCACACUGUGAACUUUGAAGAUGAUGCUUAGCAGACCCGAAAGGUAAAAUCUUCCGCCUGAGUAGUACGAUCGCAAGAUUAAAAUUCAAAAACUUUGGCUGUUCACUAUUUCGAUUAGAGGAGCGUGUAGUUUAAUUCGAUGGUCCGCGUGUUACCUUACCCCAACUUGAAUCUGUGACCGGUAUUGCAUGGCCGUCGUAAGUUCGUGUAUUAAGCUAGAAGGGACCCAACCCGGGCAUUUGCCCGGAGGAAGUCAGGUCUUAUGAUCCGAAUGUUGGGGGAUUUUAUGCGCUACAUUUUCUUAUAUAAUGGGAGACCUGGAAGGUGAGCCUCUAAAGUAAGAGUUCGGAAGGUCGCUGUAAGACGACUGGAAGUUGGAUUUAAUAGUAAUCGGAAAGUAGGGCGUUCCGGUGAAUUGGUACAAGUGUUAGCACAAAUUGCCCGUCGCCUUUACCUAGAAUGGUUAUUCGGACGCC
rnacentral:rRNA from 1 species